rnacentral:rRNA from 1 species
UCUCAGUUCAGAUUGCAGGCUGCAACUCGCCUGCAUGAAGUCGGAAUUGCUAGUAAUCGUAGGUCAGCAUACUACGGUGAAUACGUUCCCGGGCCUUGUACACACCGCCCGUCAAACCAUGAGAGUUGGCAACACCCGAAGUCGGUAGUCUAACCGCAAGGAGGACGCCGCCGAAGGUGGGGUCGAUGAUUAGGGUUAAGUCGUAACAAGGUAUC